rnacentral:rRNA from 1 species
AAAGCUCAAAUUUAAAAUCUGAUGGCUUCGCCGUCCGAGUUGUAAUCUAGAGAAGUGUUACCCGCGUUGGACCGUGUACAAGUCUCCUGGAAUGGAGCGUCGUAGAGGGUGAGAAUCCCGUCUUUGACACGGACUGCCAGGGCUUUGUGGUGCGCUCUCAAAGAGUCGAGUUGUUUGGGAAUGCAGCUCAAAAUGGGUGGUAAAUGCCAUCUAAAGCUAAAUAUAGGCGAGAGACCGAUAGCGAA